rnacentral:rRNA from 1 species
CGUACCUUGUUGCUUCGGCGGGCCCGCCGUUUCGACGGCCGCCGGGGAGGCCCUGCGCCCCCGGGCCCGCGCCCGCCGAAGACCCCAACAUGAACGCUGUUCUGAAAGUAUGCAGUCUGAGUUGAUUAUCGUAAUCAGUUAAAACUUUCAACAACGGAUCUCUUGGUUCCGGCAUCGAUGAAGAACGCAGCGAAAUGCGAUAAGUAAUGUGAAUUGCAGAAUUCAGUGAAUCAUCGAGUCUUUGAACGCACAUUGCGCCCCCUGGUAUUCCGGGGGGCAUGCCUGUCCGAGCGUCAUUGCUGCCCUCAAGCACGGCUUGUGUGUUGGGCCCCCGUCCCCCUCUCCCGGGGGACGGGCCCGAAAGGCAGCGGCGGCACCGCGUCCGGUCCUCGAGCGUAUGGGGCUUUGUCACCUGCUCUGUAGGCCCGGCCGGCGCCAGCCGACACCCAACUUUAUUUUUCUAAGGUUGACCUCGGAUCAGGUAGGGAUACCCGCUGAACUUAAGCAUAUCAA